UGUUAUAAAUCCAUGGACUAGAAACCCUUUACAUUUUACAGAGAGAAACUAAAGAAACCUGGAAAGCAGGAGCACUAAUGGAUCACUCUAUUUUCCAAAGAAAUAGAUCACGGACAUACUCCUCUGGAGCACUGACAAUGGUCGAGGCCCCAGACGAAACACGGAAUGGCUUCAUCCCCACCCAGGCAGUCUAACACAGUCACCGGGCAGAGAGACAGAGUACGGGAUGCGACGAAAGGACAGGAAUCCACCGCGGGCUUGGAUGAGAUUUGGGAUUUCUGCUGUAGCACUUCAAGUGGCCAGAUCUGUGUGUAUUACAUGGGGCUAUGGAAUACCCAGAACAACACAUUGUACUGCCCCUGCCCGCCUCUCCCCGGCAGCGAAAAGUUAGAAAGACACUGA